AUUACAUUUCCUCCAGUGAGUGACAUUAAGAUGAAGAGAAGAAACGAUAUUGAGAGCUUCUUUAUCAAGAAAAAAAAGAGUCAGAGUCAGCUACAGCCAGUACCAGCACCAGUGCAGAUGCCCACACAAGCCAGCAGCCUAGGGAUAGUGUUGAUGAGCAGUCCACUACCCCAAUACAAGAUGUUGACCAGCCACAUUUGGAGGAGGAGGAGACGGACUGUGAAUCUGUGUUGUCUGGAUCUCCACCUACUGAGCAUGGUCCUAGCAUGUCAAUAGGUGACACUGAUGCUGCUCCCCCUGGACCUCACGGUAUGUUGUAACAUUUUAUAUUUC